UACGUAGGGGGCUAGCGUUGUCCGGAAUCAUUGGGCGUAAAGAGCGUGUAGGCGGCCCGGUAAGUCCGCUGUGAAAGUCGGGGGCUCAACCCUCGAAUGCCGGUGGAUACUGUCGGGCUAGAGUGCGGAAGAGGCGAGUGGAAUUCCUGGUGUAGCGGUGAAAUGCGCAGAUAUCAGGAGGAACACCAAUGGCGAAGGCGGCCUGCUGGGCAGUUUUGCUGACACUGAGGCGCGACAGCGUGGGGAGCAAACAGG
rnacentral:rRNA from 1 species